rnacentral:rRNA from 1 species
GACGAACGCUGGCGGCGCGCUUAACACAUGCAAGUCGAGCGAGAACCGGGGCUUCGGCCCCGGGGAAAGCGGCGAACGGGUGAGUAACACGUGGGUAACCUGCCCUCGGCGCCGGGAUAGCCCGGGGAAACCCGGAUUAAUACCGGAUGGUCUCCGGAGCCUUUGGGCGCCGGAGAAAAGGUGGCUUCGGCUUCCGGCCGAGGAGGGGCCUGCGGCGGAUUAGCUUGUUGGUGGGGUAACGGCCCACCAAGGCGACGAUCCGUAGCUGGUCUGAGAGGACGAUCAGUCACACUGGGACUGAGACACGGCCAAGACUCCUACGGGAGGCAGCAGUGGGGAAUCUUGCGCAAUGGGCGAAAGCCUGACGUAGCGACGCCGCGUGAGCGAAGAAGGUCUUCGGAUCGUAAGGCUCUGUUGUCAGGGAAGAACAAGUACCGUUCGAAUAGGGCGGUACCUUGACGGUACCUGACCAGAAAGCCACGGCUAACUACGUGCCAGCCGCCGCGGUAAGAC